rnacentral:pre_miRNA from 1 species
UUGCUACUCCCUUCGUCUCAAAAUUCUUGUCUUAUAUUUGUCUAGAUACGGAUAUAUCUAAUACUAAAAUGUGAUUUGAUAUAUCCGUAUUUAGACAAAUCUAAGACAAAAAUUUUGGGACGGAAGAAGUACUUA